CCUACGGGGGGCUGCAGUGGGGAAUAUUGGACAAUGGGGGCAACCCUGAUCCAGCCAUGCCGCGUGUGUGAAGAAGGCCCUCGGGUUGUAAAGCACUUUCAGUGAGGAAGAACGCCUGGUGGUUAAUACCCAUCAGGAAAGACAUCACUCACAGAAGAAGCACCGGCUAACUCCGUGCCAGCAGCCGCGGUAAUACGGAGGGUGCGAGCGUUAAUCGGAAUUACUGGGCGUAAAGCGCGCGUAGGUGGCUUGAUAAGCCGGUUGUGAAAGCCCCGGGCUCAACCUGGGAACGGCAUCCGGAACUGUCAAGCUAGAGUGCAGGAGAGGAAGGUAGAAUUCCCGGUGUAGCGGUGAAAUGCGUAGAAAUCGGGAGGAAUACCAGUGGCGAAGGCGGCCUUCUGGACUGACACUGACACUGAGGUGCGAAAGCGUGGGUAGCAAACAGGAUUAGAUACCCCAGUAGUC
rnacentral:rRNA from 1 species